rnacentral:pre_miRNA from 1 species
AUGAGAGGCAAUCUGUCUUUAAGUAGAGAUAAAUUACUGUAAAGUAAAUGAAUCCUAGAUAGUUUUCCCUUCAAGUCAAGAAACUUGU